rnacentral:rRNA from 1 species
UGGAAGCGUCUGGAAAGGCGCGCGAUACAGGGUGACAGCCCCGUACACAAAAAUGCACAUGCUGUGAGCUCGAUGAGUAGGGCGGGACACGUGGUAUCCUGUCUGAAUAUGGGGGGACCAUCCUCCAAGGCUAAAUACUCCUGACUGACCGAUAGUGAACCAGUACCGUGAGGGAAAGGCGAAAAGAACCCCGGCGAGGGGAGUGAAAAAGAACCUGAAACCGUGUACGUACAAGCAGUGGGAGCACGCUUAGGCGUGUGACUGCGUACCUUUUGUAUAAUGGGUCAGCGACUUAUAUUCUGUAGCAAGGUUAACCGAAUAGGGGAGCCGAAGGGAAACCGAGUCUUAACUGGGCGUUAAGUUGCAGGGUAUAGACCCGAAACCCGGUGAUCUAGCCAUGGGCAGGUUGAAGGUUGGGUAACACUAACUGGAGGACCGAACCGACUAAUGUUGAAAAAUUAGCGGAUGACUUGUGGCUGGGGGUGAAAGGCCAAUCAAACCGGGAGAUAGCUGGUUCUCCCCGAAAGCUAUUUAGGUAGCGCCUCGUGAAUUCAUCUCCGGGGGUAGAGCACUGUUUCGGCAAGGGG